UUCUAUAAGCAGUUAGUUUUCUUUUUUCCUGACUAACCACACAAAUUCAAUUCAUGUCCAGUUGAGAAUAUUAUAAAAACUUAUGACUGAGACUGCUAGAAUAUUAAUGCAUACAGGCGUAUUUUUUACAGUCAGUUAUGCUUUAAGUAUUAAUCUAAUGCUUCUAUAAUAUUCCUUCAUAAUCUUUUCUUUCAUUUGAGUGUGUCAUACUCUGUCUAAUUCAAUAAUUUCUGUAUAUUUGUAAGUCUAUGCUUCAUCUAAUUCUCUAAUCUAUUCUUCUCCAUCUAACUCUAUAGGUGUUAUAAUAUUUUUUUCUCUCUUCUAGGCUGCCUCCGUACAUCUUUCUGACAGGAAUUAUAUAUUAGUUCUUCAAGUAAAUCCUUGUAUUGUAUGAAAUGGUGUUUCCAGUUUUUAAAGUUGUGUUGAAAAAGAUCGGAAGGAAAAUUCGCCUUGGAAUAUUCCUCUUGUAAUACGAAUAAGAUUUGUUUGCACAUUUCUCUCCUUUUGUAUUUGCAGAAUUGUAUGCCGUUUUCAAGACAUGCAUGAUGUUAGUUAUUAUUUUUCAGUAGCCUUAUCAUCAUCAUCAUCAUCAUCAACAUCAUCGUCGUCGUCGUCGCUGUCAUAGAUAAAAUAAGUAGCAAUCUAUUUCUUUACUACCAACAAGGGGCUAAACACAGAGAGGACAAACAAGGACAGACAAACGGAUUAAGUCGAUUACAUCGAUCCCAGUGCGUAACUGCUACUUAAUUUAUCGACCCCGAAAGGAUGAAAGGCAAAGUUGACCUCGGCGGAAUUUGAACUCAGAACGUAACGGCAGACGAAAUACGGUUACGCAUUUCGCCCGGCGUGCUAACGUUUCUGCCAGCUCGCCGCCUUAUAGAUAAAAUAAGUAGCAAUCAACUCAUUCAACUACGCUCAACUCACAAGAUUUCGAUCCAUUGCAAGAAAAUAUUUUUUCUCAUCAACUAGCUAGAUUUUGUCGCCAUCCUGUGGGCCAGCAUGACAGAAAUCACAAUAGAACAGGUAUCACUCACUGCAAGAAAAUGGAUUAGCGCAGAUUAUAUUCUAUACUACUACACUAUAGCAUUCAAUUUCAUCCUCUUAAUUUUAAUUUCGAAUUGUGACAUUUACGACCCACUUGCUGUUUCACUGAGAUACCUAUGUUGCGUGAUUAAAAUUUCUAUUUACUAAGGAUGUGUUUACUCGCUACACUGAGAUCAUAUUAUUGUGUGGGGUUUAUCAAUCUAGAGUUGGAGUUUUUUAAAAGUAUUCUUUGUGAUCCUUCAAGGUGACAUAGGGUUUACGCAUGGUUAACUGUUCUACACUAUCUUUAAUAAAGUUGCUGGAAGAUUUGUUCAACUCUCUCUCUCACUAUAUAUAUAUAUAUAUAUAUAGAGAGAGAGAGAGAGAGAGAGAUUUUAUUUGUGCAUUAAGGCUACCAUUGGUUUCAUAACAAGAAAAUAUCUUAAUAAACUUAUCAAUCUUUCAAGCCUAUCACAUGGAUUAAAACACCAAAUGGAGGUGAACACCAAUUCACCACUUACUUUCACUCUCUCUCUCUCUCUCUCUCUAUAUAUAUAUAUAUAUAUAUAUAUACAAAUGCACGCGCACGCACGCAUAUACUAUAUAUAUAUAUAUAUAUAUAUAUAUAUAUAUAUAUAUAUAUAUAUAUAUAUAUAUAUAUAUAAAUAUAUAUAUUUAUACAUAUACAUAAAUAUAUAUACAUACAUACAUACUUACUUACAUACAUAUAUCUUCAAAGGAAAAGUGAAAGAUACCCAGACCGAUUCAAUAAAUGUCUUUUGAAUGUUAUUUUUAUCUCUGAAGAUGUUGAAGAAAAGACCAGCGUGUAGAAUCACUAAUUACUACUUUAUUCUCUCAUACGUACAUGGAUACUUACAGUUUCCAUACACACAAACGCACGCAGAUACACUCACAUAUGUAUAUAUGUAUUUGUGCGUGUGUGUGUGUCUGUGUCUGUGUAUAUAUGUAUGUAUAUAUAUGUGCAAUAUACAUACAUAUAUAUAUAUAUAUAUAUAUAUAUAUAUAUAUAUAUAUAUAUAUAUAUAUAUUAUAUGCAUAUGUAUGUGUAUAAUAUACGCAUUUAUAUAUAUGCCUCAAUUAUUUAUACACACACAGACAAGCACAUACAUCACUUCCUGGAAGCUGUGUUUUUUUGUUUAAAUCUAUUAAUCCAAGUAUUUUUAAACAAAGAGGAGCCGAAAAUAGCUGAACGGUAACAAAGAAGUGAGGAGCAUGAAUCGAUGAAAAUUAGUCCAAAGAAUGAAGGCGCAGUGUCAGAAAAAUUUAUGCUAUAAUUGGUUCAAAUAACGAAACAUUGUUGCUAAUUUCAACAGCGAAAUAAGAAAAAAAUAUAAUAUAAUUAGAUUAUAAUUGUGGGAGAAGAAAGCUAUAAUGUGGUAACUCGUAUUUUCAUAAACAACUUUCUAGAAUGCCUACCUUCCUUCCAUAAAAAUGUAUUCCAUUUAGUAGGACAGAGUACAAUAAUUAAAAUGAUCAAUGGUUGAAUUUAGUUCAAAGAAUGAAUGGCUGGAGACUCACAAAUGGAAUAAUUUUGUUCAUAGUUCUUUUCGAACCGACCUCAUUUGAAAUUAAACUCGGAGCUUCAAGAAAACAACAAAGUAACGAUGCCCCCACCUUAGCUCGGGUGUUUUGUUAGGUGGUGGGGAUAUUGUCUGAUUCACUGAGUAGAGCAAAGACAAAAGAGCACAAAAAUGAUUGAGGGAUAGAUGGUUAGUAUAAAUAAAACGUUUAGGGGAAAUAAAGUGAUAAAUUGGUCGAAGAGAAAUGGGAUGGUAUACUGACCAACUACGGGUAAUAAGCAACGAAAAUUUUAUAUUCUCUUGAUUUCCUGUAAUUCAGGGUGCCUAGUGGUCCCAGCAGACAAAAUGGAAAAGCCGUUGCCGCGGUGGAUGGAGAUGAAGAUACGCUCGUUUGGACAGCCACUCUGACUGAAGGGGCUUGCACUUGCGAAUAGCCAUCAGUGAGCAUCUGGGUGCCGAUAAACCUUUGACAGUUUGCUUUUCUCAGACUGGCGAAAAGCGGAGUCUUGGCUGGUAGCUGAACAUGCCAAGUUGCUUCUGGAGAAUGUGUCACAUUAGGAAUUCCAGAUGCAACGGGAAAGCUGUCAUACUGUCAGACCUUUUGCUGCCCCCUUGGUCUAGCCUCGCUGGCUCGAGCUGGAAAGGGAAGCCUGCGGUAUAUAGGCCAUGCUUUAGGAUUUCGGUAAGGGCACCAUGACGUGGAAGGCGGCUAGCACAGUUGUUUGAUAGUUAUUCCCACAUCGUGCAAUUGUAUGCUUUAUUGUAUUAGGUUGGAAAGUCCUGACGCAUUUUUUACAUGAGCUCUUUGGGGAUCCUUUUUCAAUAUUGACAAUAAAAUAAGUAUUAAUUCUUUAUUGUAAUGCUUUUUCUUUCUUUCUUUGUGGAUUACUUUAUACCAUAGUGGUUAAAUUCUUAAGGAUUUUACACUUUUAAAAUGAGUUUAGAUUAGACCCAUAUAAAACACUUCAUGCUGUAUGGACUCAAAAGGGGUUCUGUAUUGGAAGCGGCAAGAAAUAUUCGUUCUGUUUAUAGAAGUGUUCAGACAUGCCAGCGAUGAUUUGGCCAAAUUCACUUGCGAAUCAUUUUUCCCUCAGACUCCUCUCGUUUUAGACGACUAAGUUCUGCCAAUACUGGGCUUCUGAAAAUGGUAAAGGAAAGUACAAAGCAAACUGCAUACGAAUUGACAAAAUAGUUCAGUUCACUUCGAUCACAAAAUCUCAAUAAUUAAACACCUUCAUGAACUAAAAAAAAUAUCUAAAUUUGGUCAAUGCUUUCCUCAUCAUCUGACUGCUUUUCAGCUUAACCAACUAUUUUCCUUCUGUUCGUAAUUGAAGAGUAAACGUGUUAUCGAACAGUUCCUAGAUAGAAUUAUCAUAAGUAAUAAGAAAGGGAUUCCCUAUACUCAUAUCCAUUGAAAACAAAUAUUGCUAGUACCGAAUGAAAAAGAAUCUAUCCCAAAACCAGGAUUACACCCGAAAAACAUCAUGCUCUGUGUUUGGUGAGAUAUGAAGGGAGUCAUCUAACAUGAAAAUUCAAAACGAAACAAUUAAUGCGAGAAAAUAUUGCGGUCAGACGGAAGAAUUGCACAAAAAUUUACAGAAAAAGCGCGCGUUAGUUGCAAUGGGGUGUUGCUCUUACACGAUAAUGCAAGACCACAUUGUGUCCAGAUCACUCAUGAAAAGAAUAUGGUACUAAAUAUGGAAGUUUUACCCCCUCUUCUUUAUUCUCCUGGCUUUGUUCCAUCUGACUUAUCUUUUCAGAUCAUUGCAGCAUUAUGACGAGGGGAAACAGAUUUUAAAAUUGUGAAGAGGUUAAAACUAAUAUUGAGUGUGUCUUUGUUUCGAAAUCUGAAGAAUUGUAUGUCCGUGGGAUCAACAAUUUGCCAAAUAGAGGAAAUAGAUGGGAUUAUGUUAUCAAUAAUGAGGGAAAAUAUUAUCUUGAUUAAAUAUAUAAAUUAAAAAGUAUCUAUUUCAUUCCCGUCUUGAAAUGCCACAAAACUUCUGUAUUCCAAUCUAAUUUAAAGAAACAGAUUCAAAUGAAAUAGGAUAUUGUAACUUUUAACCACAUCUGUAGGAUGAAUAUGCUCUGGUGGAAAACUAUGGCUAGGUACGUAGUAUACAGAACUUAAAAUAAAAAGCUUCCAGUAAGUCACGUUUACGAGCCUUUUGCGAUACGCAGUUAAAGUGCUCUAUUUAUACCCUAAUGCUUCUGAGAAUGACAUGAAUGCGAGAAAUGCUCAUUUUUCCAAAUUUAUAACAAAAAUUCAAGGCUUUCGUACUAAAUACAAAAGAGAUCAAUAUAUCAUGGAAACCAUGGGAGUUCCCAAGAAAAUGGAAAUAAAUAUUGUUAAUGAAUGAAGAGCAUGAGCACAUUUCUAUUCAUGUUGAAAUCAAUUCGUUUAAUUCGUACCGUUAAUGUCCCACAGAAAAGCAAGGACACAGCAAUAUCGCAUUAAACCUGGUACAUAUUCACGAAACCUAUAAUUCCCGGACAUAGAGAAGGCUGGCAAGCUAACAAAACAUUCGUGUAAAAUUACUCACAAUCUCGACUGCAUAUCAAGGAAGGAUUAUCAUAGUGAUACUCUGCCUGUUUGAUUUUUGUGACGCACUGGAGAUUAAGUAAAAAGGGUUACUAGCGCACUUCGUAUGAAGUGUUAGAGAAAACCACGUUUUCAAGAACAAAAUUAAAAAAGACAUAGGCAUUACUACUGUUAGGUUAAUAAGCUGGCUUUACAGCCAUGCGGUUUAGAGUUCCCUUCCACUGCGCGGCACCUUGAGCAAUUGUCUUCUACACAAACCCCGAAGGUUGUGUGUUUGAGAGGUUGUAUUUUUACUGGACAAUUAGGAAAAGUUUGUGAGAACUGGUUUUCAUAUAAUCAACGUGUUAUAAUCACCAGCAAAGAUUCAAUCAGCGCAGUGAAGGUACGAUACUGGUAUUUGAAUAGAAUAAGUAGAUCCAUUACCUUGUAUCGUCUAUAUAGGUGGUUAUUAACUUUCCAUUUAUACAACAUGAACUAUAAAUGUUUAAGAGCUUCGUACAUUUUUACAAAAAGAAUCGUUCAAUUUCAGUCGCACUUUUAUAUUCCCGAACAUUCCAGAUGUUUGAAAGUUUGUCUGUUUAAUUAAUAAAUCAAUGGAGUUAUCAAUAUUUGCUGUUGGGUAUUCUGAAAUUUCUUUUGAUAGUAAAAUUGAAAAGUUUAAUUCAAAAUUACUCACUAUCUUCUUCUUCUUCUUUUUCUUCUUCUUCUUCUUCUUCUUCUUCUUCUUCUUCUUCUUCUUCUCCUUCUUCUACCUCUUCUUCUUCUUCUCCUCCUCCUCCUUCUACCUCUUCUUCUUCUCCUUCUCCUUCUACCUCUUCUUCUUCUUCUUCUUCGUCAUCGUCGUCGUCUUCUCCUCCUCCUCCUUCAACUGCUACUCUUGCUUCUCGUCAUCAUCACCAUCAACAUUAUUAUUAUUAUUAUUAUUAUUAUUAUUAUUAUUAUUAUUAAGGCGGCGAGCUGGCAGAAACGUUAGCACGUCGGGCGAAAUGCUUAGCGGUAUUUCUAGGUGUUCUACCUUCACACCAGCACCGAUCUUUUUCAGCUAUGCUGGUAGUUGAGUGCUGAUACUUCCAAGUGCGCCAAUUACUAUUGGUAUCACGUAUACUCUCCUUAUUGACCACAACCUUCGUAUUUCCCACUUCAAAUUGUCAUAGUUGUUCAUUUUUUUCUUCUGUCUCUUUUAUCUUAUUGUCAUCGGGGCAUGCUAUGUCGAUUAUCAAGCAUGUCCUUUCUUUUUUACUUAAUACAACAAUGUCCGGUUCGGUCAGGUGAUCGCACUGGAUCAUUGCAUCCCACAGGAUUUUGCAAAUCUCAUUCUCGGUGACUCUUCCUGAGGUUUGUUCAUACUAUGUCUUUGCUCUUUAUAGGCUGUGAUUUCCACAGAGCUCCCAAUGGAUCAUUCUACCUACAUUGUUAUGUUGUCUUUUGUAUUAGCAGUGUGCCAAUUUUGGGCAUUCGCUAACGAUGUGCCAUACCGUUUCAAUCCUCUCACCACACCCUCUGCAUUUGUCGCUGUCAGUAGCGUUGUCUAUUCUGCAGUUCACAUAGUUGAUCCUUAACGCUUGCUCUUGAGCUGCGCAUAUGUGUGUUUCUGUCUCUAGCUUCAAUACACUCUUCCUUAUCCAUAGCCAUCGGUCUUCUGUAUCUGUCUUGGCGUUCACAUUUGUUGCAAACUGACCGUACAUUUUCCUCCUUCUUUGCUGUUUCUUUUUAUCUGCGUUCAUUUCUUCUCAGUCAAAAUAUCGUAAACUACGAUCUUAAUAUAAUAAUCUAAAAUAUAUCUAAAAAAAUAUAUGACAUUUCUCUGCAACUUUUAAUUUAUUUAAUUUAUUGCUGUGUCUUAAAUGUAGAACUGAACUUAAUUUUGCUGUCCUCGAAUUUAAUUAAUUUCUUAAAUGUAACUUUUACCCCACGUGGUAAAUUCUCAUUCCCCCCUCUCUAAUUCAUUCACCGCUCUCUCUUCUAUCUCUCUCUCCCUCUCUAUCUCUCUCUUCCUCUCUCUCUCUCUCUCUCUCUCUCUCUCUCUCUCUCUCUCUCUCUCUCUCUCUCUGCAAAGCACAAGAUUUAGUUGCUACUAAAAAUAAGCUGGGUAUUUAUUUACAACCAAAUUACCUUAAGCUAUGGUCUUAAUAUAAUAAUCCAAAGAUAUAUCUAAACAAUAUAUGACAUGUCUCUGAAACUUUCGAUUUAUUAAAUUUAUUACUGUGUCUUAAGUGUAGAAUUGAACGUAAUUUUCCUGUCCUCGAAUUUAAUUAAUUUUUCGAAAGUAACUUUUACCCCACGAGGUAAAUUUUCAUUUCAGAUCUAGUAUUUUCAUUCGCAAAAUAUGGAUUUUUUAAAAGGAAGUAAAAAAUCUGAAAAUCGGCUAUAAUAAUGUAGUCUUCCAGUCUCGUGGCUAUGUAGGUGUGAUGUUGAGGAGAAAGAAAUUGGAGGAAAAAAUUAGAGGUUUGAAAAUCGGGAAAACUGUAACUUUAGCCAAAAGCGAGAGAGAAAUUUUCUGCAUUUAGUGGAGCGGUGUCAACUUUAAGGUUGUACCCAGUGAAAUUUAUAGUUUAGUGUCUGUAACAUGACCUGUUCGUGGUAGAUUUCUAUAUAAACAGAUAUACCUAAUCAAUUCGACAGGUGUCAUCUUACUGUUUCUUUCGUCUCUUUGAUUGUAUAUUUUUAUUAUUUUUUAAAAAUUGUUAUAUUAAUAUAUUGGUCUGUAUGUGUUUACUUUAGGUUUAUCUGCGUUCAAAUUCCAGUGAGGUCGAUUUACUUUUCAUCUUUUCCGUGAUAUCGAUAGAUAAAGUACUAGUAAAAUACCAAAUCCUCUCUCUCUCUCUCUCUCUCUCUCUCUCUCUCGCUUUUAGAACCGGCCACAUUGAAGAGUGCCAAGAAAGGUGAGUUCACCUUGUGGCCUCACCAAACUUUUCACUACAUCUCCAAAGACUAACACCGAAACAAAGAAUGUGAACCAUAAAAUAUCUAAAGAUCCUGCUUUCGUUAUCUUUCUCUUUGUGCAUUUAUGUUCUGCUCCUAUCUUUCUGAGCUGAUGCUCUCAUAUACUACAAGAUACAUAUGUACACAAACACAAAUAUAUAUAUAUAACCAAACAUAGACACACGUGCAACAUACACUCAUAAAAUUCAUCAAUUAUACAAUCUAUAAUUCUCUUUCUCCCAAUAUGUUUCUUACUCAUUCUCUAUCUAUAUCUCUUUCAUAAGCAAGUAUAUUCAAACACAUGAUUGUUUCGGCAUUUCUUUCUUGUCUGCGCUCGCUUUUAUUUUCUUUUUCAUUCUCUCUCACAUGUAUUUAUGUUAUAUAUAUAUAUAUAUAUAUAUAUAUAUAUAUAUAUAUAUAUAUAUAUAUAUAUAUAUAUAUAUAUAUAUACAUAUAUAUAUAUAUAUAUAUAUAUAUACAUAUAUAUAUAUACAUACAUAUAUAUAUACAUAUAUAUAUAUAUACAUAUAUAUAUAUAUGUAUACAUAUAUAUAUAUAUGUGUGUGUGUGUGAUAUAUAUAUGUAUAUAUAUAUAUAUGUGUGUGUACGUAUAUAUAUAUAUAUCGAUACUAUGUCUUCAAUAUUAAAUACAAAACUACGUCAUCUUUUAUUUACCAGUUCUCUCACUCUGUCCUCUUUGUCCUUUCUCUCCCAUCUUUCCCUUCUCUCCUUUCUCUUUCUCUCUCUCUCUCUCUCUCUCACCCUCUCUCUUCUUCACACACAAACACACGUUCAAGUACACAUACAAACGUACGACUUUGUUUCUUCUGCUUUUCUUUGUUGUCCGUCUGUUUUCGUUUCAUCAAAGACUUCAUCUCAAAGCUGUUUCACCAACAUGAAUAGGACCAUCUUGCUGCGAGUCAUUCUCACAUAAUGAAACGGAAUUCACAGAAACUCUUAUAUAGAUUUAUUUGCUUUCAAAUGGCUAGAAUUACAUUAAAUCCAAUUUACGAAACCACUGUCUAAUAAUUGAAAAAAAUAUUGAACACUGUAACGUUGAUUGGAAUAAUGCGAUUUAUUGAAGGCUAAGGUUCUGUGAGUUGCACCUCGGAGUAGCUCGUUCCGGUUUGCAGAAAUGAAGACUAAGAAUAGGAAACUCCGAGUAACGACUCAUACAAACUCAGAUCUUCGUAAAUAAUAUUUUAUCUAUACAUAUAUAAUUAUGUAUCCUUGCGUAUAUAUAUAUAUACACACACACACACACACACACACAUAUAUAUAUAUAUAUAUAUAUAUGUAUUAUGUAUGUAUGUAUGUAUGCAUGUAUGUAUGUAUGUAUGUAUUUAUGUAUGUAUGCAUGUAUGUAUGUAUAUCUGUAUACAAAAUGACUAUUGACCAAAACUUAAAAAUUUCCUUACAGUAUGGUUAUGCGGUUAUAAAGCUCAUACUGAAACAUGUCACACUAAAGAGUACAAUCGAGUAAGUGUCUUCUACAGUAGCUCAGGGCAAGCCAAUCCCUUAUGAGUAAAUUUAGUAGACGGGAACUGUGUGGAAGCUCAUCGUAUAUAUAUAUAGAGAGAGAGAGAGAGAGCGAGAGAGUGAGAGAUUUAUAAUAGUAUAAAAUACAAUUAUAUUUAAGGGCAUAGAAGAGUACACAACGUGUACACAACGUGUACUCAAAGUGUACUGUAAAAGUGAUAAUUUUUAAGUGGUUUGAAUAGUUGGCGUCUAUUUUCAGCAUAGGCAUAGUCUCUUAUAUGCCUUUAAUUAUAAUUGUAUUUUAUACUAUUAUAAAUCUCUAUAUAUGAAUUCACCAUAAUAGGUCUGUAUUAUAUGUUGGUCACUGAUAGAAUCCUUAAUGAUUUUAUCCUGUAUUAUUAUAAUAUAUAUAUUAUAAUAAUAAACAUGACUGAAUAUCACCUGUUGAAAUGGAAUGGAAUGGUUACGAAACAAGGCGGAAUUACGUAAUAGUAAUCCCGUCUCUAGUUUCUAUGUAUGUAUAUACAAAAUGCACGUCAUUGAUUGGUUGAAACUACCGAAAUACGACAACUUUAACACAAAAUAACUUCGUAAAUAUAAAUUUUUCUCAAAAACGCUAAGAGUAAAAGAUGUUUUAUAUGACACAGUCUACCAGUGUCCGAAGUUUGAAAGUGUUUAGUCACAAAAAAUUAAUUUCUCGACUUGCCGUUUAAAAGGAAAAGAUCCUAAAAUCCUUUUAAGAGCAAAUUUUUCUGCUCUUAAAAGGAUUUUAUCCUUUAUAUACACUGUUCAGAAUUUACGUGCUAAAAAACUAUAUCUUUCUUCUUGUUCUAUAAUGGUGAGAGUUUUACAGGUUCGGAGUGCGAAUCCUACUUCAACUCUUUUUGGUCGUAUUUAAUAUAUUCAUUUUUAUCACGUUUUAUUUUUAUAUAUACUUAUUGUUAUCUACUUGUUAUACAUUUAUUAUUAAUAUUUUUGCCAUGUACAAAUUUUACUUUGAAAUUUCCAAAACAAUACUCAGAAUUUCUUUGUCUACCAGUGCUUUUUCUAACAUUCAACUGUAAAACCAUUAAAAUACAAAUAAAUUUUUCAUUAGACGAAUCUCCAUUGAAGAUAAGUAGUAGUAGUAGUAGUAGUAGUAGUAGUAUGGAGAAAUACGCUAUAACAGCGUGACGCUGCAUCCACCAUUUGAUGGUGAUUCCCUGCUCCAUGCGGAUGACGCCUUUGCAUCACUCAGGCGACAACCCUCCAACCCAUUGGUUGCUUGGGUAGUCGUUGCUGGUGAGAAUUUCACAAGGUAAGAGUACAAAUCCUAAUUCAACCUCUUUUAGUCGAUUUUACGACACGCACGGGAAAUGCUGGGACUAUUCUUUGACAUACCGGUUCCCACACUGCACUAGAGCAACGUGAAAGGACGUGUUUUGCUCAAGAACACAACACACCAUCCAGUCCAGGAAUCGAACCCACGAUCUGGCGAUCGAGAGAGCAAUACAUUGACCACUACUCCACGCAGAUUCUUUUCCCUUUGUUUUACUUUUAAUUCCUUAUAAGAACUUGUGUUUCUUUUUCUAAUCUCAUUUUAGUUUUUUUUAAUGAGAACCCGCUGAAAUAUUUUUCAACAUAUCUGAUUCUUCAAGGGGAAUUUUAAAAAAAACUUCUUUAUCAGAUCUCUGACAAUAUGUUCUCUAACUUAAUAUUUGAUAGAUUUUGUUCGUAUUUUUAGAUGAUUAUUAAUAUUUAUAUUUGGUUACGAGUAAAUUUUUAAACUGCUUAAUUUACUUGUAUUUUAUCAUUAAUAAAUUUAGCAAACAAUCACCAUAAUAACCAUUCUAUUCCUUUUGUGGCUUGUAAUUCGUGUGUUGUAUCCUAACUUAACCAACAAACAUCUAAUCAAAAAAGCAACAACGGCUUUUGCAUGAAGCUAUGUAACUAUAUAUUUUUUUUCUGUCAAUUCAGCAUGAAAAGAAGAUUCGUUCAAUAAUUGAUAAUUAUAAUUUAUCAUGACGGUAUAUGUGGCAUUGAAUAUUUUCACGUUUACUUACAGAUUGGACUCUUUCGAUAAAGUAACAGAAAA
rnacentral:lncRNA from 1 species